AUGGGCAUCAUCUGGGAAACUGGUUAAGAUGCUGAGUUUAAUUCAGUAAAAGUAGGCAGGGACAAACAGUCUGCCUUUCUAACAGGCUCCCAGAGGAUGCCAGU
rnacentral:pre_miRNA from 1 species